rnacentral:tRNA from 5 species
GGGGCCAUAGCUCAGCUGGGAGAGCGCAACACUGGCAGUGUUGAGGUCAGGGGUUCGAUCCCCCUUGGCUCCACCA